rnacentral:rRNA from 1 species
AUUGAACGCUGGCGGCAUGCUUUACACAUGCAAGUCGAACGGCAGCGCGGGCUUCGGCCUGGCGGCGAGUGGCGAACGGGUGAGUAAUGCAUCGGAACGUGCCCAGUAGUGGGGGAUAGCCCGGCGAAAGCCGGAUUAAUACCGCAUACGACCUGAGGGUGAAAGCGGGGGACCGAAAGGCCUCGCGCUAUUGGAGCGGCCGAUGUCGGAUUAGCUAGUUGGUGGGGUAAAGGCUUACCAAGGCGACGAUCCGUAGCUGGUCUGAGAGGACGACCAGCCACACUGGGACUGAGACACGGCCCAGACUCCUACGGGAGGCAGCAGUGGGGAAUUUUGGACAAUGGGGGCAACCCUGAUCCAGCCAUGCCGCGUGCGGGAAGAAGGCCUUCGGGGUGUAAACCGCUUUUGUUCGGGAAGAAAUCCUCUGGGCUAAUACCCCGGGGGGAUGACGGUACCGGAAGAAUAAGCACCGGCUAACUACGUG